rnacentral:rRNA from 1 species
AGUAGCCGCGGGAAUACAGAGGGUGCGAGCGUUAAUCGGAUUUACUGGGCGUAAAGCGUGCGUAGGCGGCUUUUUAAGUCGGAUGUGAAAUCCCUGAGCUUAACUUAGGAAUUGCAUUCGAUACUGGGAAGCUAGAGUAUGGGAGAGGAUGGUAGAAUUCCAGGUGUAGCGGUGAAAUGCGUAGAGAUCUGGAGGAAUACCGAUGGCGAAGGCAGCCAUCUGGCCUAAUACUGACGCUGAGGUACGAAAGCAUGGGGAGCAAACAGGAUUAGAUACCCUGUAGUCCCUGUCUCUUAUACAC